GCUAAGUGGACUGGCUAGUGGCGCACGGGUGCGUAACACGUGGGAAUAUGCCCUUGAGUGCGGAAUAACAGUUGGAAACGACUGCUAAUACCGCAUAACAUCUCCGGAUCAAAGAUUUAUCGCUCAAGGAUUAGCCCGCGCCUGAUUAGGUAGUUGGUGAGGUAAUGGCUCACCAAGCCGACGAUCAGUAGGGGGUCUGAGAGGAUGAUCCCCCACACUGGUACUGAGACACGGACCAGACUCCUACGGGAGGCAGCAGUGAGGAAUAUUGGACAAUGGGGGAAACCCUGAUCCAGCCAUGCCGCGUGAGUGAAGAAGGCCUUCGGGUUGUAAAGCUCUUUCAGAUGCGAAGAUAAUGACGGUAACAUCAGAAGAAGCCCCGGCUAAAUUCGUGCCAGCAGCCGCGGUAAUACGAAUGGGGCAAGCGUUGUUCGGAAUCACUGGGCUUAAAGCGUAUGUAGGCGGAUUUGCAAGUCAGGCGUGAAAUCCCGAGGCUCAACCUCGGAACUGCGCUUGAAACUGCAAGUCUAGAAUCCGGGAGAGGUUAGUAGAAUUCCUAGUGUAGAGGUGAAAUUCGCAGAUAUUAGGAGGAAUACCAGUGGCGAAGGCGACUGACUGGACCGGUAUUGACGCUGAGAUACGAAAGCGUGGGGAGCAAACAGGAUUAGAUACCCUGGUAGUCCACGCCGUAAACGAUGUGUGCUAGUUGUCGGGCCUUUAAGGUUCGGUGACGGAGAGAAAUUAUUAAGCACACCGCCUGGGGAGUACGGUCGCAAGACUAAAACUCAAAGGAAUUGACGGGGACCCGCACAAGCGGUGGAGCAUGUUCAUUAAUUCGAAGCAACGCGAAGAACCUUACCUACACUUGACAUCCUUCUUGGGACUUUCAGAGAUGAUUGUCUUCUGUUCGGCCGGGGAAGUGACACGUGCUGCAUGGCUGUGUCGUCAUCUCGUGUCGUGAGAUGUUUGGAUAAGUCCAGCAACGAGCGCAACUCUUAUCGUUUCUUGCCAGCGGGUAAUGCCGGGCACUGUA
rnacentral:rRNA from 1 species